rnacentral:rRNA from 1 species
GAAAGUAAGCAAGGGCAGACGGUGGAUGCCUUGGCUCUCGGAGGCGAUGAAGGACGUGAUAAGCUGCGAUAAGCUUGGGGUAGGUGCAAAUAACCUUUGAUCCCAAGAUUUCCGAAUGGGGCAACCCGGCUGGUAGAAGGCCAGUCAUUCCGUAAGGAAGGCGAACGUGGGGAACUGAAACAUCUAAGUACCCAUAGGAGAAGAAAACAAAAGUGAUUCCGCAAGUAGUGGCGAGCGAACGCGGAACAGCCCAAACCGAUGAUGUUUAGGCAUUGUCGGGGUAGUAGGACCACGUUGUGGCAAGAGAUUAAGGAAGUAGAACGUUUUGGAACAAACGGCCGUAGACGGUGAAAGCCCAGUAUACGACUCUUUAACGAAGCCUAGUGGAAUCCUGAGUAGCGCGGAGCACGAGAAAUUCUGUGUGAAUCAGCGGGGCCCAUCCCGUAAGGCUAAAUACUCCCGAGAGACCGAUAGCGAACCAGUACUGUGAAGGAAAGGUGAAAAGCACCUCGAACAGAGGAGUGAAAUAGUCCCUGAAACCGUCUGCCUACAAGCGGUCGGAGCAACGUAAGUUGUGACGGCGUGCCUUUUGCAUAAUGAACCUACGAGUUACUUUCUCCGGCAAGGUUAAGGGCUUCAGGCCCGGAGCCGAAGCGAAAGCGAGUCUUAAUAGGGCGUGAUAGUCGGAGUGAGUAGACGCGAAACCAAGUGAUCUACCCUUGGUCAGGAUGAAGGUUGGGUAACACCAACUGGAGGUCCGAAUGGGUAUACGUUGAAAAGUGUUCCAAUGAACUGAGGGUAGGGGUGAAAGGCUAAUCAAACUUGGAGAUAGCUCGUACUCCCCGAAAUGCAUUUAGGUGCAGCCUUUAUUUAGUAUAGCAUGAGGUAGAGCGACUGAUUGGAUGCGAGGGCUUCACCGCCUAUCAAGUCCAGAUAAACUCCGAAUGCGUGCUAUAUAUUGAUAAGGAGUGAGGGCGCGGGUGCUAAGGUCCGCGUCCGAGAGGAGAAGAAUCCAGACCAUCAGCUAAGGUCCCCAAAUAACAGUUAAGUUGAACUAACGAAGUCGGACUGCAGAGACAGCUAGGAUGUUGGCUUGGAAGCAGCCAUUCAUUUAAAGAGUGCGUAACAGCUCACUAGUCGAGGAGUCCGGCGUGGAUAAUACUCGGGCAUAAACUGUUUACCGAAGCUAUGGAUGUAGAAAUACAUGGUAGGGGAGCAUUCCAACGGCGUCGAAGGUGAAGGAUGACCUUUGCUGGAGCUUUUGGAAACGCAAAUGUAGGUAUAAGUAACGAUAAAGGAGGUGAGAAACCUCCUCGCCGAAAGACUAAGGUUUCCUGAUCAACGUUAAUCGGAUCAGGGUAAGUCGGGACCUAAGGUUAAGCCGAACGGCGAUACCGAUGGAAGAAUGGUUUAAUAUUCCCAUACUACUUUAUGGAGCGAUGUGGAGACGGAGAAGUGAAAGUCCUGCCAUCUGACGGAAUAGGUGGUUGAAGAGUGUAGAUGUAGAUUCCUGUAGGCAAAUCCGCAGGGAGAGUCGACCUUGAUAGUAUGCCGCGUGCUUGCACAAGGCAAAAUGGACGUAAUCAGGCUCCCAAGAAAAUCCGCUAAGCAUAUUCAUAAAGUACCCGUACCGUAAACGGACACACGUAGUUGGGUUGAAAAUACUGAGGCGCUCGAGUGAUUCACGGUUAAGGAACUAGGCAAAUUGACCCUGUAACUUCGGGAUAAAGGGUCCCUACUGAGAGGUAGGGCGCAGAGAAUAGGUCCAGGCAACUGUUUAACAAAAACACAUGGCUGUGCGAAAUAGAAAUAUGAAGUAUACAGCCUGACACCUGCCCGGUGCUGGAAGGUUAAGAGGAGAGCUCAUCGCAAGAGAAGGCUUGAAUUGAAGCCCCAGUAAACGGCGGCCGUAACUAUAACGGUCCUAAGGUAGCGAAAUUCCUUGUCGGGUAAGUUC